GAGUGAUAGGAUUUUCCAUGCAAAAGCUGGUAUUAGCAGUGCAGAUUCAGGAAAAUACCCUGAAGAAUAUAACUUUCUUUAACUGCUCUUCAUCUAAGAUGUGAAAAGGCAGCAGGAAAAGAGAGUCCUCUGUGGUUUAGGCAGCUGUUGGAAGGACUGGCAAUUCUGUGUCAACUUUGGAGUAUGUCGUUCUGACAUCAUAAUUGUAAAUAAAGCCCCCGUUUCCUACCCAAACUAUAUGAGUGGGAGCCAAAGAGUCUGGCCUGUCAAGCUACAUCAGCCUCUCAAGAGUAGGUUUUGGAAGUUCUGCUGAAUGCAACAGUGACUCUCACCCAUUGGGAACUGGAACUGGGCACCACAUGCAGGCUGCUGGGGGUUCGGGGAGCACAGCAGCAACAGGAAGCUGCCUGGAGCAGUGGUAACACUGGAAUGCUUGAUUUCAUAUCAACCUGCUUGUACACUGUGGUCAUCUGCCAAUGCUCUCCUUCAGACAUCUCCACCACCAGAGGUGACGCAGGUGGCUACCGGAGACAGGACAUUUCCAACUGUGGUUUUCCAUUUAUUGAACUCUGUCCCUGUGGGAGCUCAUCAGGCAUCUACAGUGUUACUUUGGGGUGGCAGCAAGACUUUGUAGUCUCCCAGACUUCUAAGGUAACUUAACGAAUUUAAAUUAUAGUUGGCAUUCUGCUGCCUAUUCUGCUUUAUUGUCCUAAUGGUGGUUUUUAUGAUUGUAUGUUUUUGUUUUUA